AUUGAACGCUGGCGGCAGGCUUAACACACGCAAGUCGAGCGGGCGAGGUUGCUUCGGUAACUUAGCUAGCGGCGGACGGGUGAGUAAUGCUUAGGAAUCUGCCUAUUAGUGGGGGACAACAUUCCGAAAGGGAUGCUAAUACCGCAUACGUCCUACGGGAGAAAGCAGGGGCUCUUUAUGACCUUGCGCUAAUAGAUGAGCCUAAGUCAGAUUAGCUAGUUGGUGGGGUAAAGGCCUACCAAGGCGACGAUCUGUAGCGGGUCUGAGAGGAUGAUCCGCCACACUGGGACUGAGACACGGCCCAGACUCCUACGGGAGGCAGCAGUGGGGAAUAUUGGACAAUGGGGGGAACCCUGAUCCAGCCAUGCCGCGUGUGUGAAGAAGGCCUUUUGGUUGUAAAGCACUUUAAGUGGGGAGGAGGCUUACCUGGUUAAUACCUGGGCUAAGUGGACGUUACCCACAGAAUAAGCACCGGCUAACUCUGUGCCAGCCGCCGCCGUAACAC
rnacentral:rRNA from 1 species